GAUGAACGCUAGCGGCAGGCUUAAUACAUGCAAGUCGAGGGGCAGCACGAAUAGCAAUAUUUGGUGGCGACCGGCGCACGGGUGCGUAACACGUAUACAACCUACCUAUAACAGGGGGAUAGCCUUUCGAAAGAGAGAUUAAUACCCCGUAAUAAAUUGAGUGGCAUCACUUGAUUUUGAAAGCUACGGCGGUUAUAGAUGGGUAUGCGUCUGAUUAGCUAGUUGGUGAGGUAACGGCUCACCAAGGCGACGAUCAGUAGGGGAUCUGAGAGGACUAACCCCCACACUGGUACUGAGACACGGACCAGACUCCUACGGGAGGCAGCAGUAAGGAAUAUUGGUCAAUGGAGGCAACUCUGAACCAGCCAUGCCGCGUGCAGGAUACGGCCCUAUGGGUUGUAAACUGCUUUUGUACCAGAGAAAACCUACUCACGUGUGAGUAGCUGAUAGUAUGGUAAGAAUAAGCAUCGG
rnacentral:rRNA from 1 species